rnacentral:tRNA from 1 species
GGCCCGAUGGCGAAGUAGCAACGCAGGAGUCUGCAAAACUCCCAUGCGCGGGUGCAAUUCCCGCUCGGGCCUCCA